rnacentral:lncRNA from 1 species
UUAGAGCAGGAGUGAGAGUUUAUUAAAAAGUUUUAGAGCAGGAACAAAAGGAAGUACACUACACUUGGGUCAGGCAGGCAACUUGAGAGAUCUAAGUGCCCUGCCUGACCCUUAACUUGGGGUUUUAUGUAUUUGGCAUAGUUCUGGGAUUUACGUCUCAUCUCCCCUGAUUCUUCCCUUGCAGCAGGCUGUCCGCGUAUGUGGUGACCUGCCAGCACUUGGAAGGGGUCGCAUGCACAGUGUGAUUACUGAAGUUGCGCGCAUGCUCACUUGAGGCAUUUUUCCCCUUACCAGUCGUGCGUUCCCAGAGGAAGGUAGGUCAUAUACUGGUUAAAUUCCGCCAUUUUGCCUCUUGGUGCGCAUGCUCCAGGCUGCUUGCCCAGCUCCUGAGAUCUUAUCGGGAAGCGGCUGAUCACCAGAUCAGGGUGUUUUGUAUCUAUUGAGAGACUGUCCUUGCUUGGAGCUGGCUGCAACCAAUUAUUAUUUUACAGAGACAGUUUAACAACCACCUGACCAUCACCUGAUGGUAGCCUGACAUUCCUGUGGGGGCCCUCACCUGUCCUGCUCAUGUUUGCCUAGCUCCCUACUCUAACAUUUCCACUCUGUGGACCCCAGGUUGAGAUCUUCUGCAGGGAAGACUGUCCUCAAAUAGCCUGCUGGGGAGACAUCUCCUUCCCGUUUACCUUUCCAUUUGCCCUUGCGGUGUUAGGCAAAGGCUGAAGCUGGCCUCUGUGGCAGAGGGUUUCUUCCCAACACGCCAAUGACGCUGGUGGAGAGUCUUAAAAACAGCUGUGCUGGGGAGAGUUCUUGGUGUGUACCUUUCAGAGACCUCCUCCUUAAGACUCUCAAAGACUGAGUCAGGCCAGUGGGAGCCUGGCAGCAAUUCUUAGGGGACAGUGACAGCUUUUUGAGGAGGACUAAUUGGCUUCUAGGGCUGGAGGCCACUUGGGUCUGACAGACUGCCCUGCUGCCAUCCCUCCAGGGCACCCCCCACUCCCUUGCCUCAGGGCCUUCCUGCACUUCUUCCUUUUGUCCUCAAUGUUCUUCACCCCACCUUUUCCACUGGUACCCUCUGCCUAUGGUCAAGGCUUUGGUGAGACCCACUUUCCUCUUAGACCUUCCUGGAUCCCCCAAAGUCUGUGUUGGAAGCCCCUCCCAUGUGCCCUUGUUUGAGCUUUUAAUUUUCCACCAUGACGCUUGUCACACUGCUUUGUAAUUGGCUCUCUGUUAGUCUGCAUCUCUACUGGGUUGUACCUUCCAGGAGGACAGCUGCCAUGUGACUCUUGUAAUCUUCCCACCGCCAACACCCAGCACAGCGUCAGGAACACAGAGCAUGAUGAGCACAAGCUUGUUGAGCAAACAGGAAAAGUGAUUUUGGCUAGGCGUGGUUCUCAUCUGUGAAAUUCCACAGCGCAAUGACAGCAGCCUCUCUCCCACCCACUCAAGACACUGUCAGGAAUGUCUUAAGACCUCAGGAGACCACUUCUUUAGCAAGCAAUUUUGUUUUUUGUUUUUUUUGAGAUGGAUUCUCACUCUGUCACUCAGGCUGGAGUGCAGUGGCGCGAUCUCCGCUCACUACAACCUCCGUUUCCUGGGUUCAAGCGAUAAUCUCACCUCAGCCUCUUGAGUAGCUGAUACUACAGGCAUGCGCCACCACGCCCGGCUAAUUCUUGUAUUUUUAGUAGAGACAGGGUUUCAUCAGGCUGGUCUCAAACUCCUGACCUCAGGUGAUCCGCCCACCUCAGCCUCCUGAAGUGCUGGGAUUACAGGCGUGAGCCACCUUGCCUGCCCUGGCAAGGAAUACAUUUUUAAAAAUUAGUAAGAAACAUACACAUUUCAAGUUUUCAAUUAAGAAUAAUAUUUGCUGAUGGCACCAUCUUCCUGUCUUUCAGCCUUCAGCAUGGUAGAGGAAAAGAGAAAGAGUGUAGACAAAAACAGUUGAAGAACAUCUGUGCUUGUUCCACCUUCAUUUUCUGUUUUGUGCGUUGCCUGAAUGAACGGUGUCUUCAGGUUGGUAUUUCACAGGCGGUGCUCCCAAGUAGUCUGGUUUUCCCAUUUGUGGAGGGCGAGGUCAUAGAGGGGACAGGGGGAGGCUGUCUGGUCAGCACUGUGUAUUUCCAAAGAACAAGGACUAGCCAAAACUACAAGCCUUUGAAGGACCAAAGGAAAAGAGAAAAAACCAGCCUCUAACCAGGCCAUGCGCUAGAAAUGAUUGAGUAUAAAAAAGAAAAUUGGUUUCUGUGUAUGAGGGUGCAUGGAAAAGGUCUUUAUCUCUGCACAAAACAAAAUAUUCAAGUUUCAGAAUAUCCCAAUGGCCUUGCCCUGGAUCUCCUCUUGUGCUCUUCCAAUUUCCAAGGAUGUUCCAACUUGGUGGAAGGAGGGUAUGUGGGAAAUUCAACAGCCCCUCUGUAUCUCUUUCUACCCAACAUUAACUUAGCAGGAUGGAUUUAAGAACCGGCAGCUUAGCCUGAGGAAUUGCUGUGUUCUGUGGGAGCAGGGCAGGUUCAUAAAUAAGUGCACAGAGGUCUUGAAAUACAGGGAUUAUCUGUUCUUCUCGGAACAUGGAUGUCCUUCCAGGGAUGUGCAUCUGGCCUUGCUGUCUAAGUUCCAUCAAGGGAGCCUUCCGUUCUCUGUAGCGACAAGAAACAAGGCAAGUUAUGAUCACACCUCUCAAGAUUGAAGAUUGCCCUGGUGGAGAGAAAUGCAAAAUGACAGCACUUCUCAAAGAAAAUGCAAAGCAGGGCUGUCACACACUGGUCCCCCACCCUGCAGGGUUCUCUCUGUGACUUCAGAGGCCCAAGGAGUCCUCAGCACUACAGAUACACGUGGCCCCUCAGAAGACAACAUUUCACAGAUCUGCAAAGAAUAAAGGUCAAAUUUACUUAAUACAACACCCACCAGGGUUCCUGCAGCUGUGUCACUGAGGCAAACAGGGAAAGUAAUUUUGGUUAGGUGUGGUUCUCACCUCUGAAAUUCCACAGCACAAUGACUGCAGCCUCUCUCCCACCCACUCAAGACAUUGUCAGGAACGUCUUAAGACCUCAGGAGACCACUUCUUUAGCAAGCAAUUUUUUUUAGAUGGAUUCUCACUCUGUCACUCAGGCUGGAGUGCAGUGGCGCGGUCUCUGCUCACUACACCCUCCCUCUCCUGGCUCCUGCCCGUAUGUAUUUCUCCUUCUCUCCAUGCCUGCUCUGUAGGGACCAUAGCCUCUGUCCCUGCAUACAUGUUGGACAUCAAUCACAUCAGUCCACCAAGUAACUUCAUCAAGCACCCAUGUACGCCCAGCACAGCGUCCCAAGGGUGCCCCACUUACCCACAGAAGAAGAAAGGCAACUUUGUAAGAGAUCUGACUUCUAGCUCCAGUUCUGUCUCUAGCUAACGUGAGAUGUACCCGUUUGAGGCCUGUUUUUUAAUUUUGAAAAUGAAGGACUGAACUUAGAUGGUCCAACUGAAAUGUUUUAAAAUGAUAUGAUUCUACCUUAAAAAGAGAAUGAAAUUCUGAUAUAUUUUCAACACAGGAAAACCUUGAAAACGUUAUGCUAAAUGAAAUAAGGCAGACAUGAAAGGACAAAUAUAUGAUUCCACUUAUGUGAUGUACCUCAAAUAGUCAAAUUCAUAGAGACAGAAAGUAGACAGUGGUUGCUAGGGGUUGCUGGAGGGGCAAUGGGGAGUUAGUGUUUAAUGGGUACAGUGUUUCAGUGGCUGCUCUGCCUAUGGAGUAGCCAUUCUUUUGUUUCUUUACUUCUCUAAUAAACUUGCUUUCACUUAAAAAGAAAAAGCUCUGGAGAUGGAUAGUGGUGGUGGUUGCACAGCAAUGUGAACGGACCUAAUGCAACUGAAUUAUACACUUUAAAAUGGUUAAGUAUACACUGGAAAAUGGUGAAUUUGCCGGGCGGGCGCAGUGGCUCACGCCUGUAAUCCCAACACUUUGGGAGGCCGAGGCGGGUG